rnacentral:lncRNA from 1 species
GGAAAUGUUUUUCAAAAUCAUAAAGUGUAUUGUUUUGUAUGUGUGAAUACCAUGGUGCCCAUUAAGUAUUCUUAUGAGGGUCUUGAAGGGGUUUAAGGAAUAAAGAAGAAAGGGUCAAAAUAACAGAAAAUGGAAAAAAUAAAGAAUAGAAUAAAUAGAAAAAAAAAGAAUAAAGAAUAUUGGGGGUUAAAAUAUAAAGAAAAGAGAAAAAAGGGCAAUAAUAAUAAUUUCAUAAAAUAAUUAUAAGAUAUAUACUUUUUUAUUCCAAUUAAA